CUCGACGAUCAGUCUAGGUUUAGGCAUUGCUCAAGUAGCAGAAACUAAAAAAUUGGAGGAAGUUUAAUUGGAGUUAGCAUUGGAACUGUAACUGAAAUGCAAAAAGUUUGGAGAACUUUACAAGCAUUGUAAGCUAUUGCUUUUGCCAAUUCUUACUCCCUCAUCCUUAUGGAGAUUCAGGAUUUUGGAACUCCGACUUCUCCAGCUGAC